GGUUGGCGAGCGCCUUUCUGCGCCUUCAGGCAUUUUUGCUGAAGCUUUUGUCUGCGCUUGUGCGGGGAGGUUCCGGUAGCGUCCGGGAGACCCGGCCCAGCGUUUCUUCACCGGGAUCUUCAUUGUCCCAUGUUGGGCGCCAGGAAUGCUGGGGUGAUCAGACCCAGUACCAGGCCAUGGGGGCUACAAAGUCCAGCAGAGUCAAAGGAAAGAGAAAAGACAAGGUGGCAUAAAAUGACACUCCAAGAAUCUUUCACCAAACAGUUCUAGAGGCUGGGAAGUCCAAGAUCAAGAUGUCAGCAGAUUCAGUGUCUGAUGUGGACUCACUUCCUGGCUUACAGAUGGUGCCUUCUGGUUGUGUUCUCACAUGAUGAAGUUUCGCUCUUGUUGCCCAGGCUGGGGUGCAGUGGCGCAAUGUCGGCUCACCACAACCUCUACCUCCCGGGUUCAAGUGAUUCUUCUGCCUCAACCUCCGGAGUAGCUGUGAUUACAGGUGCCCACCACCAUGCCCAGAAUCUUCAUGCUGAGGAAAUGAACCCACCUGUUUGUGCCCUGCUGCACCUCCCUGUGAUAGACUGCCACGUUUACUACCUGAGACCGUCACUACGACAGUUACUACUGUUACUACCUGAGACCGUCAUUAUGAGACUGAAAGAAGGAGGACAAACGUAGAAAUGAAAGCUGAAGACAAAAGAAAUUAUUUUAAAGGAAGGGGUCAGGAGAAGAAGAGGGCUCCCUGCUUCUAGUGAGCAAGGGCAGCUGUCUGAGCCUCUACAGCCCUUCGUAUUUAUUGGGUAGAAAGAGCAGGGAGCAGGAGGUAACAAUUGGUCAGCUGUUUAAUUGAUCACAGGUUCAUAUUAUUACUAACAAGCUUCAGAUGUGCCUAAUUACAAGAAACACUUCGCUUGGGGCGUGACUGCCCUCAGCAUUCCCUCUGGGAAGCAGACGCCGUUUGUCAGUUUGACAACAUUCUGCAUUUAUGAGAAUAGUUUGCUGUUUACUCAUGUAGCCUCCAGUGGUAUACUGCGUUGAUCAUGACCCUCACUCUUUCGGCCUGCAACGCCUCCCCUCCUCCUGGGUCCAGGCCCCAGACCCAGCCACGCCUCUUCUUAACCUACAUGAUCAGGGCCAGGCAGAGGAAAAGAAGAGCCGUGAUGCCGAUUCCCAGAAACGCUCCGUUGGAGAAUGCCGUUGAGAUGAGUCCCUUCUUAUCUGCACACGGAGAGGGCCAGGAAACUACCACACCCCGGCCCAGGUGUUAGGACUUCCCAUUGUGUUUUCCUGUCUACAUACAGAUGCCACGGGUCUGCUGUGUCCCUCCGAGCUCCUGCUCCAACCACAGGACCCUACUCUUUGCCCCACUCAGCUUCUCCUCCAAGAACCUUGGCAUCCAGGCGGCCCCCUAACCUGGCAGCUGCAGGAUGGAUCCACUCUGGGCCCCAUGGAUGUUCCAGGCCUCACAGCUGAGCCUGAGGCCAGAGCUGAGCCCUCCUUGGAGGUUCAGGGAGCUGUUGGCCCAGGGCCCGGCUGAGCUGGGGGUGACCUCGAAGGAGUCCUGGCUGCUGUUUCCCUCCAGCAGCUCCUCCCCAAGCCACCAGCGCAGAGAGGGGGCCGGGCUGGCUUGGGAAGAGCAGCUGCAAUGCAGACCCUCAGCCUCCCAGGAGCAGGAGGGGCCCAGCAGCUGUGGAGGGUCUGAGGGGAGGGAGGACAGGACUCAGAAGGGGCCCCUUCCUGGGACCCAGGUGCCCCCCUUUCCCCCACUCACAGUGCACGGAGAGGCUGAGAGAGACGAGCUGGGAGCCCAGUGGGUGCCAAGCCUGGCAGGUGAACUCUCCUUCGUGCUCCAUUUGAACCCGAGGCAGCUCCAGGACCCCGGGGUCUGAGGACUGGGAGGGGCUCAGAAUCUGUCCCCCCCGGGUCCAGCUCAGCCUGGCUGGGGGGCUGCUGUGGGUGACACAGACCAGGCGCAGGCUUUGGCCCUCCAGGACUGGGACAGACGUGCCAUUCCCAAGGUUUUCCAGGACUAGGGAAGGAAGAGGCAGAAUCGAUGUGCAGCUCAGGACUCAGGGACCCUCUUGCGUGGGGACCCUCCAGACUCCUGGGCCCCGAAUUCGGCACUGAGAGGCCCUGGCUCCUCUGUCUCCUUUCCUACCUGUCCUGUUUGCCUGGGAAACCAUCACUCUCAGGUUCUCUGGAGGAUCUGAAAUGGAGACAGGGGACUGGCUCUAGACGGACCAGGGGCUUCCCUCUGGGUAAAGGGAAGCAUCCUGGAGACUGAGGUGGGGGAAGUGGGUGGGAUAGAAGGGCAGUGCAGAAUCACCCACUGAGUCCCAGACACAAACUGCAUGAGGGUCUACACAGGUAAGAAGGUUGGUCCCCGAGGCCUGGGGCUCCAGGCCCCCUCAGCUCUAGGACCCUGAGCCCAGCCCCUGUAUCCCUCUGCCCUCCCAAUGGACUCCAGGCCCCUGCUGGGCACACUCACACUGCACAGAGAGGUCCAGGGCUCGCUGCUGAGAGCCAAGCCUGUUCUCCGCUCGGCAGGUGUAGCGCCCUGAAUCCCCAGCCUUCACCCCGGGCAGCUCCAGCCCCAGGGGUCUGGGGCCCCAGGGAUGGGACGAGGAGAGGACUCUAUCCUGCAGGACCCAGCUCAGUGUGGCAGGGGGCUGGCUGUCAGCAGCACAGAGGAGCCGCAGGAACUGGCCUUUCUGGGCUUCCAGGGCUGCGGCGGCAUCCUGGGACCCCACAGCUUCCUCUCCCUGGAUGCUCCUGAGCUGGGAGCCACUCACUGCCCCUCUGGGCUCCUCCCACCACCUACCCACCGGGUCUGUCUGAAUGCCCCACCCUCCCAGGCCAUGCUCACAGGCCACGCGGAGUCGGACCGUCCUCUGUGCGCUCACACCCUUUCUGGAGAAGUCCACAUGGCAGCUUCCUCUCUCCACCCGAAAGAAGUACUGUGACUCAUCCUGCAUCUGCGCAUCUCUGAUCACCAAGGAGCAGUUCCCCUUGGCAGGAUCCCCAGUGAGCUGGAAUCGGCCCCGGGUGCUCAUUUCCA